AUGGAGCCCCGGGCUGCCGCGGCGGGCGAGCCGGAGCCGGCGGCGGCGUCCUCCUCCUUCCAGGCCCGGCUCUGGAAGAACCUGCAACUGGGGGUGGGCAGGAGCAAGGGCGGCGGGGGCGGGCGCGCGGGGGGUCCGGAGCGCCGCACUGCGGACACCCCUUCGACCUCCCCGCCACCCCCGGUGGGCACACCGGACGCACCGGCCGGCGGGAGUGGUGCAGGCAGCAGGUGGAGCGGCUUCAAGAAGCGGAAGCAAGUGCUGGACCGAGUCUUCUCCUCCUCGCAGCCCAACCUGUGCUGCUCCUCGCCGGAGCCCCUAGAGCCCCGCGGCACCGGCAGAGCAGAGCAGGGGUCCACGCUACGCCGCCGGAUCCGCGAGCAUUUGCUACCUGCCGGAAAGGGGCCCGCGGUGGCCACGGGAGCAGCGGGAGGGACGCCUCCUGGCGGACGCUCCCCAGACUCAGCUCCUUCCUCUUCCUCCGCCUCAUCCUCCCUGUCCUCCUCGCCCCAGCCUCCCCCGAGGGGUGACCGCGCCCGAGAUGAGGGUGAACGGCGUCAGGGCCCCGGGGCGCACUUGUGCCAUCAGAAGAGCUCCUCUCUGCCGGGCACCGCCUGCCUGGAGCAGCUGCUGGAGCCGCCGCCUCCUUCCGCAGAGCCAGCGGGGAGUCCCGUGGAGUCUCGGGCCCCGGAGACGGGCGAGGAGCGCGGCAGCAGCCAGGAGUAUAUGCCUGAUGUGAGUUUCAGACAAUUUCAUUUGUAUUUGGUGCCAGAAAUGUGUUGCGUGACUGCUUUUGCAGCCUAGAAUAUAAGCAGUUCCUGAUCCGCACUCCUCUUGCAAGCAGCUUCAUUAUACAAAUAUGCUUUAGUAGUGUUCACCCAUUGCUGCCUCAGCUUCUUUUACUGUCCCUGUCAUCACACUUUGCAAGAAGAUGGUUUUUUAAGGGGAUCUGUGGUUUCGAUAAAGAGAAGAGAAGAUAACAGUGCAAGAGAAGAAUGGCUUAGGACAGUUGCCUGCCCCUGGGUGGAGACCGGACUGGUUGACUUUGCCCAUAGGGAAGAGAGGUGGAGGCAGACUGUCUUCCAGAACUCAAGUAAGUCUUAACCUCUCUAAACCUCACAUUUCUUUUCUGUAAAACUGGGGGAAUAGCAUACCAACCUGAUGGUGCUGUUAUGAGGGUACAAUGUAAGUUCCUGGUACAUAGCAAUGCUCAAUACACAUUCUUUAUUCUCCUCUACUCCAUCACUUCUGAUAGUCGUUCAUCUCCACUUUUG
rnacentral:lncRNA from 1 species